rnacentral:lncRNA from 1 species
UCCGUGCUGAAACCCCCGGCGCUCCUGCCACAGCUUAGAAGCAAAGUUAAGAGACUCAUCAGAUUCUGAGCUGCUGCGGGAUAUUUUGCAGAAGACGUGCUGUAUUGCCCAGAAGCCAUCGUGUCGCUGGUCGGGAUCCUGCGGAGGCUGGCUGCCUGCUGGGAGCACCAGCAGUCUCCUGAGGUCUACGUGGCCUUUACCGUCCACAACCCAGAGACGUGCCAGCUGUUCACCACCGAGCUAGGCCGGGCUGGGAUCAUAUGGGAAGCGGAAGCUCAUCAUGACCAGAAACUGUUUCCCUAUGGAGAGCACUUGGAGAUGGCAAUGCUGAACCUCACACUGUAGGACUCACACACGACUCCAACGGGAUUGUGAGAAUCAAGUCAAUCUCAUGGGAAGAAUUUUUAUAUGGGAAAGCGGAUAAAACUUUCAUUGUACUGGAAUGUUUGGAGAAUGUUAAAUUCCAAAUCAGAAACCACAAACUGCCCUCUAAUAAGACAUCGGCUAUCUAAGCGUGUGGGUGCCCCCUUUCUGCCAGCAGUUCUGGUUCUUACGAAAAUCACCAUAUAUCAGACAUGAAAAUUCUGGCUUUGUGCAGAUAAAAAAGUGUGUAUCAAGUAUGACGUUCCCCCAAUGUGGACACACUUGGUUCCUCAGAAAGCCAAGCCCACUGCAGCUGCCACAUCCCUGGACACACUCGGUUCCUCACAAAGCCAAGCCCGCUGCAGCUGUCACAUCCCUGGACACACUCGGUUCCUCACAAAGCCAAGCCCACUGCAGCUGCCACAUCCCUGAGCCUAUGGUGCAGCAGGUGCUUUUUUCAAGACAGGGAUCAAAGUGUUAGGAACACGGCAGAAAGGUGACACCUGGAGACCAAAUGCAGGAUGAGGAGUACUGCAGAGGUCACAGGGAAGUCAGAGAACAGUAAUACGCUAACAGGGGCACGGGGCAUGAAGAACAAAAGACAGGAAGCGUUUCAGAGACUCCAAAGAAGAAAUCAGGGCCAACCACAGCUUCCCGGGUCAUUCACCAGGUGGCACCACUGCCGUCAUUUCAGCUUCUGGCCACUGGGAGGCGCUGCUCGAAAGGGUUUGCCCUGACACUCCAAGAAGCUGCGGGAAGGACAGCAGGGGCCCUGGGGUUUUAGCCUCUGGCCCAGGAGUUAUGUGUCCAUAACCAAAGGGAGCACAGUCUGCACCCAGCUCUCAUCCCAUCAGAGCUGCUGCGACUCCUGCAGGUUCUUCCGGAACUGGUUUAGCUUGCCUGCAGGAUCAGGAAAGUUUGAGAAAAGCAUCUGCAAAAUACUAAAGAGCAGAGCUUACCUCAUUGCCUGUCCCCACCCCAUCCCAGGUCACCACCUGGCUGACCCCAGGUCCCCGACCCAACAACAACCCCUCCCAAGUCCCUAACUCCCUCACUUGGACUUGAGACCCUUCACACCCCAGCAGCGCUCCGCCUCCCACUUGACAUCAUGCUUUCUGGAAACUUCCCCGUAUGUCCCACUUUCCCACACUUGGUGCCCUGGAGCACCUUCCGGCCUCUACAUGCUGUACGUUCCCCUGUGAGCACCCUCCUCUCGGCCUCUGGCCAACACAGUCCCACCCAUCUGUGGGUAACAAGGGGGAGUGGGUGUUCUUUUCAGCCUUGCUAAACUCUCUGAAUCAAGGAUCACAAACUACAGCCUGCAGGCCAAAUCCAGCCCACAGCCUGUGUUUGUAAAUAAAGCUUUAUUGGAAGAAAGCCACACCCCUUAAUCUACAGAUGAUCUGUGGCUACUUUCACACCACAACAGAGUACCAUGGUUCUGACAGAGACUGGGGGACCCAGUCUAAAUGACUUCUGACCUGGACCUUUACUGAAAAUCCUCCCAAUCAUUCUGUUGACAAGAAUGAUGUAUUACUUUUUGCAAUAAGAAACAAGUAACCUUUGCAGAAUUCCACCCAUCUUUCAAGGCUGGUCCCAGAAGUUCCCUUAGCCCAUGCACCUACCUGAUCCUGAUCACUUCCUAAACUGCAGCCUGGCCCACCUGGAUCCAGCAUCAUUUGUGGCGUGUCAGCUCCAUAAAUCCAGAGGGCAGGUGGCGUUGUGUCCUAACUUUCCCGAGCCUACUGUACUGAAACAGGACAGCAGAGUAGGCCAGCCUCUGUGACUUCUGCUCCCUCCCUAGCUUUUCCACCAGACCCCCCAUGGUCCCACCCUGGCUGUGGGAAGCAGGGAUCAGGGAGUGUGGCUCGGUGCCAGUCUCCAGAACCCUGCCCACCCUGGCGUGGUGGCAGACAUGGCUACCUGCAGCUGAGCUGCCAGUUCCUCUGAGUCCUCAAAGACCAGGCCAUUUUCUUCAUGUUUCACCAGCUCAUGUAAACUGCAG